rnacentral:rRNA from 1 species
AGUGACCGCUGGCGGCAGGCCUAACACAUGCAAGUCGAGCGGCAGCGCGGGGGCAACCCUGGCGGCGAGCGGCGGACGGGUGAGGAAUACAUCGGAAUCUACCCAGUCGUGGGGGAUAACGUAGGGAAACUUACGCUAAUACCGCAUCCGACCUGAGGGUGAAAGCAGGGCACCGCAAGGCCUUGCGCGAAUGGUUGAGCCGAUGUCCGAUUAGCUAGUUGGUGAGGUAAAGGCUCACCAAGGCGACGAUCGGUAGCUGGUCCGAGAGGAUGAUCAGCCACACUGGAACUGAGACACGGUCCAGACUCCUACGGGAGGUAGCAGUGGGGAAUAUUGGACAAUGGGCGCAAGCCUGAUCCAGCCAUGCCGCGUGUGUGAAGAAGGUCUUCGGGUUGUAAAGCACUUUUGUCCGGAAAGAAAUCCUGUCGGUUAAUACCUGGCGGGGAUGACGGUACCGGAAGAAUAAGCACCGGCUAACUUCGUGCCAGCCGCCGCCGUAAGAC